UACAGAGGUCUCAAGCGUUGUUCGGAUUCAUUGGGCGUAAAGGGUGCGUAGGUGGUGAGGUAAGUCGGAUGUGAAAGCUCGGAGCUCAACUCCGAAAUGGCAUUGGAAACUACCUUGCUCGAGGGUUGGAGGGGGGACUGGAAUGCUUGGUGUAGCAGUGAAAUGCGUAGAUAUCAAGCGGAACACCAGUGGCGAAGGCGAGUCCCUGGACAACUCCUGACACUGAGGCACGAAAGCUAGGGGAGCAAACAGG
rnacentral:rRNA from 1 species